CUAGCAGCCAGGCGGGGGCGGCGACCACCACGGCGAGUCGGCGACCGGCGGCUACGCAGAUUACGGAAGUUUUGUCGAUCUGCUGGCUGAUUCAAGGUGUGAGAUUGACGUGGACGUGGUCAGGGAAGAUGUCGCAGGGGAGCUCCCUUGCUAUGCCGAACAAGUGUAAGCCGACGUGUUCAGGGAGGAUGUCGCAGGGAAGCUCCCUUGGUACGCCGAACAAGUCUAAGACGACCAAGCAUCUUACGGUGGAUGAUAUUGAUGUGGCGUAUCUGGAUAAGCAUCUUCCGUUGAUCCCCUGUCCUGAAUGUAGAGGUGAAGAACUUGUUGUGAGGCUCGUUUCAAAACAAGAGCAUAGCUGGGGGGCACAUUUUGUGAAAUGUGAGGUAAGCAUGUUAUUGGAUUUGAUUUCCACUGAAAUCAUAUGUUGCUCCCAAUAAUACCCCCGUAAGUUUUGAUAAAUACAUUUAUGAGUACAGGAAAUGACUCUGAAGGGUCGGUUUGCUGAACUUUUUCGGUCAAAUAUAUUUUUGAGCAUUCCAGAUUUAUUAGA